GCCCCUGUAGCGCAACGGAUAGCGCAUCAGCCUCCGAAGCUGGUGGUGACAGUUCGAUUCUGUCCAGGGGCA
rnacentral:tRNA from 1 species